CUCGAAGACCGCUGGUGGCUCCUCAGUGCCUGCCCUGCGGCGGAGUGGCAGCUCCAGAGCUAACGGACUCGUUCUGGGGAGAGCUGGUGCCUCCGACAGGCUUGGUGUGUUACCAGGCACCCGAACAGCAGUCGUUCCAAGAAGUAUGGCCUCCUCUUUACAGACAAGAAUACUGCCGUGCUGUGGCCCAGAGAGCUGAUGCAAGUGCUGGAUUCCGGGUUCAGGCCCAGGCCCGACUCCACCGCCACCGCGCCUCUGGGGGCUCACGGGGACCAUAUUUGGACCUCAAAGGCAAGGAAGACGGAAGGACCCCUACGCAUCUUUGAAUGUCCUUUUGAGUCAGCAACUGUGUCUUCAUCCAACCAACUGCCGCUCUUUCAGGCCCAGAAUCGCACUGAACUGGGAGCAGCUUGGCAGUGGGGACAGGGCAGUGGGGAAAUGUCUUCAUCUGCCACCUGUUCCACCCACUUGGCUUGUCUGAAUCUGGCACCUGUUCUUUUUGACAAAAUCUGCCACAUGCUUGUUCUCCCCUGUUCCCUCGUCCCCCACCCCCACCCUCUAAUCUCAGGUUAGGAAAUCACGUGUCUGGAUGCCUUGCUGUAUCAACAUGAAAGGACAUUUUGAGACCACAAAGGUCAGGCUAGUUGCAUCUCUCCAAACCUUCAAAGAAGUCAUGUUGGUUGCGGGCCAGAAAAUCUCAGCCAGCGAGCACAACCUAGCCUCUCCACAGGUCCUCAAUGUGCUGCUUCGACUUCCUGCCACUCUCUCGAAUAUUGAUAAUGAGGCCGUUCUGGAAUAAAACGAGUGCAUUUCUAUUGAGCUCUCUUUAU
rnacentral:lncRNA from 1 species